GUCCACGCCGUAAACGAUGGAUACUAGCUGUUGGGAGCAAUCUCAGUGGCUAAGCGAAAGUGAUAAGUAUCCCACCUGGGGAGUACGUUCGCAAGAAUGAAACUCAAAGGAAUUGACGGGGGGCCCGCACAAGCGGUGGAGCAUGUGGUUUAAUUCGAUGAUACGCGAGGAACCUUACCAAGGCUUAAAUGUAGUUUGACUGAUUUGGAAACAGAUUCUUUCGCAAGACAAAUUACAAGGUGCUGCAUGGUUGUCGU
rnacentral:rRNA from 1 species